UCCCGGUCAGGAAGCUUUAUGUUCUGGAUCAUCCAGGAGAGGGACAGAGGUGGUCGGUUGGUGCGACUCAUAAACAACCUCUUCAGCACAACCUGGUUGAAUGUGGAGUUGUUCCGUCUGACCAGAAACCUGUACAGUUUGACCAACAGCCUCAGGGUGUUGGUGUCCCUCUGUUGCCCAGGCUGGAGUGCAGUGGCAAGACUGGCUCACUGCAACCUCCACCUCCUGGGAUCAAGCGAUCCUCCCAUCUCAUCCUCCAGGAGCUGGGACUAAAGAAAGAAACUUAUAAUUCACACUUUUGUUGAUGAGGAGACCAGGACAGAAGAAGCAAGAGGACACUUGGUCAGCCAGAAAGCUUGUGCUGCUGAGUGAAGAAGGCAGAUUUGGUGCAUUGGAAGACAGCAACUGCAGAUGCAGAGGAACUGGAAGGGAAUCACAGCUGGUCAUGCCAAAGGGGCAGCCCAACCUAUGUUCAUUCAGCAACCAUGGCAGUUUCUCUACAUCUGUUUUCAAUUCGAGCUCCAGGUCAUGUUUUUCAGUUAGAAUAAAAUGUGAAAA
ensembl:lncRNA novel transcript, antisense to CHRM2